rnacentral:misc_RNA from 1 species
GGAGGUAAAAGUCGUAACAAGGUCUCCGUAGGUGAACCUGCGGAGGGAUCAUUACAGAGUUCUCGCCCUCGCGGGUAGAUCUCCCACCCACUGUUAUCGUUACUGUGUUGCUUUGGCGGGCCGCCGGGCCCCGCUCGGCCGCCGGCUCCGGCUGGCGCGCACCCGCCAGAGGCCCAGCAAACUCUGAAUGUUAGUGUCGUCUGAGUACUAUAUAAUAGUUAAAACUUUCAACAACGGAUCUCUUGGUUCUG